CCAAAGGCGAGUGCACGCACGCUGGCGCCGGGUGCGGGAGGCUGCGUGUGCCCCACGCGGGUGGAUGUGAGUGCGUGUUCACGGAGUGCAGCGCAGGCGGCGGGCGGCAGGACUUCGCUCUGGACGGUGCUGUGGGUUCCCUGGGUACUUAGGAGGAGCAGGAGGCCCUGUGGGGUGGAAGACUGGAAGAACACUCGUCCCCCAACCGCGUGAGUGCAUUUCACCCAGAUGCCAGCUUCUUCUCAAAGUCAAACUUUGUUGGAGGAGAACUGAUCUAGGCAAGAGGAUCUAAGGCAAAGUGCCAAAGGGUGAGAUCCCCUCGGCCAGGCCCCGGCACCCCCUGCACAUGAAGGCUGCCCUCACCCACCCACUGGACUGAACAGCGUAGUGGGGGAAGCACUGUUUUUACUGCCCAAAGGAACGGAAGCUCCUCUGCAAGCAUCUCGCCCCGGGUCUGGUGGGAGGGAUAAUUCUAUCUCAUUGCCGCAAACAAGUUAAUGGAGAUUUUAAUGAAAACACUGCACUGAUGAAAAUGCUGAGGCUAGAACCUACUCUCUGCCUGUGAGACAAAACAAUCGGGGUCAGAAUUUCUCCUUGAUAAUUCAUUCUGCAGUUCCUUUUAGGCCUACAUAAAGCGAGCUGGGGAUCUGAGAGCAGAAAGCAGUUCAUCGUUGAUUGCAUCCCAGACUGUAAGAGGUCAGAGACCCUCCUGGCCAAGGAAGUAAACUGCCUAAAAUGCCUAUGGGUCCUGUUACCUCAUCUGUCCUCCACCUCUAGACAGUCACCUUUUGUUUCAGGUGGUAAAGGCCAUAUCUCCUCACCUUCUCCUGUUUUUGCUCAUUCUAAGGUCUCUGGAUUCUAACAACUAAGUCUUCCCAGAUGAAGAGGCAGUCGGGGCAGGUAGAAAAGGUCUAGGACUGAAUGUCAUAUUUGGGUCCCAGUUCCAGAUGUACUGCUAAACAUGUGACCUUCAUUAAGUCAUUUAACAUCUCUGAAUCUGAUUACUGGCCUGAAAUAGGGAAGCCUUCCCUGGCUACCUUGCAGAAUUGUCUUAAGGAUGUGAGAGCACUUUGAAAAUUUUUAUGUGGUAGAGAAGUGUGUGUGUGUGAUUAUAUGUUUAUAAAAAGAUAUUAUGUCAUUAUUACAGAUAUUAUGUCUACCCUCUAUUCCCCUGCAGCAACUUGUCUUGCUGUUCUCCUUUAGAAAAGGAGGACAGAUUUGUGUUGCCAGGGGUUAGGGAAGGGGAAGGGGGUUG